AGAGUUUGAUCCUGGCUCAGGAUGAACGCUGGCGGCGUGCUUAACACAUGCAAGUCGAACGAUGACCCGGUGCUUGCACCGGUGAUUAGUGGCGAACGGGUGAGUAACACGUGAGUAACCUGCCCUUAACUCUGGGGUAAGCCUGGGAAACUGGGUCUAAUACCGGAUAUGACUCCUCAUCGCAUGGUGGGGGGUGGAAAGCUUUAUUGUGGUUUUGGAUGGACUCGCGGCCUAUCAGCUUGUUGGUGAGGUAAUGGCUCACCAAGGCGACGACGGGUAGCCGGCCUGAGAGGGUGACCGGCCACACUGGGACUGAGACACGGCCCAGACUCCUACGGGAGGCAGCAGUGGGGAAUAUUGCACAAUGGGCGCAAGCCUGAUGCAGCGACGCCGCGUGAGGGAUGACGGCCUUCGGGUUGUAAACCUCUUUCAGUAGGGAAGAAGCGAAAGUGACGGUACCUGCAGAAGAAGCGCCGGCUAACUACGUGCCAGCAGCCGCGGUAAUACGUAGGGCGCAAGCGUUAUCCGGAAUUAUUGGGCGUAAAGAGCUCGUAGGCGGUUUGUCGCGUCUGCCGUGAAAGUCCGGGGCUCAACUCCGGAUCUGCGGUGGGUACGGGCAGACUAGAGUGAUGUAGGGGAGACUGGAAUUCCUGGUGUAGCGGUGAAAUGCGCAGAUAUCAGGAGGAACACCGAUGGCGAAGGCAGGUCUCUGGGCAUUAACUGACGCUGAGGAGCGAAAGCAUGGGGAGCGAACAGGAUUAGAUACCCUGGUAGUCCAUGCCGUAAACGUUGGGCACUAGGUGUGGGGGACAUUCCACGUUUUCCGCGCCGUAGCUAACGCAUUAAGUGCCCCGCCUGGGGAGUACGGCCGCAAGGCUAAAACUCAAAGGAAUUGACGG
rnacentral:rRNA from 1 species